rnacentral:misc_RNA from 1 species
GGGAUACAUGCCAACUCAACUGUGGUAUAAUGUUAUUUUGAUCUAUGCUUCUUCAGUUAUUCAUUUAUACAAUUCAUUUAACCAUUAAAUUUGGUGACUUUGAUUUAUCUUGAAAGUUUCUUGCCUGACUACUUGGAGGAUCCUUGGAUCCCGUGAGAAAUCCUGUGAAGAACACUAAUCAAGUAUUUGACAUUUCCAUCAAGACAGACGGUGUUAAGAUGCCUGGCUUGAAAUAUGUUGUG